UACGUAGGGUGCGAGCGUUAAUCGGAAUUACUGGGCGUAAAGCGUGCGCAGGCGGUUUUGUAAGCCAGGUGUGAAAGCCCCGGGCUUAACCUGGGAAUGGCAUUUGGGACUGCAAGGCUUGAGUGCGGCAGAGGAGACUGGAAUUCCUGGUGUAGCAGUGAAAUGCGUAGAUAUCAGGAGGAAUACCGAUGGCGAAGGCAGGUCUCUGGGCUGACACUGACGCUCAUGCACGAAAGCGUGGGGAGCAAACAGG
rnacentral:rRNA from 1 species